AGUUAUAGCUGCAUCAUUUGACGUAGCGACAGAAGAAGCACGGGCAAAUCCGUGCCAGCAGCGCGGUAAUACGGAGGGUGCGAGCGUUUAUGGGAAUACUGGGCGUAAGCGCAUGCAGGUGGUUGUUAAGUCAGAUGUGAAAGCCCGGGGCUCAACCUGGAAUAGCAUUGAAACGGCAGACUAGAGUACUGUAGAGGGGGGUAGAAUUCAGGUGUAGCGAUGAAUGCGUAGAGAUCUGAAGGAAUACCGGUGGCGAAGGCGGCCCCCUGGACAGAUACUGACACUCAGAUGCGACAGCGUGGGGAGCAAACAGGAUUAGAUACCUUGGUAGUCCACGCCGUAAACGAAGUCUACUUGGAGGUUGUGGCCAUGAGCCGUGGCUUUCGGAGCUAACGCGUUAAGUAGACCGCCUGGGGAGUACGGUCGCAAGAUUAAAACUCAAAUGAAUUGAUGGGGGCCCGCACAGCGGUGGAGCAUGUGGUUUAUUUCGAUGCAACGCGAAGAACCUACCUACUCUUGACAUCCAGAGAACUUUCCAGAGAAGGAUUGGUGCCUUCGGGAACUCUGAGACAGGUGCUGCAUGGCGUCGUCAGCUCGUGUUGUGAAAUGUUGGGUUAAGUCCCGCAACGAGCGCAACCCUAUCCUUGUUCGCCAGCGAGUAACGUCGGGAACUCCAGGGAGACAGCCGGUGAUAAACCGGAGGCAGGCGGGGAAGACGCCAGUUAAUCAUGACCCAUACGAGUAGGGAUACGCACCUGCUACAACGGCGCAUACAGAGGGCGGCCAAUUGCGAAAGUGAUCGAAUCCCAAAAAUUGUCUAGUAGUCAUGGAGGGAGUGGCCAACUUGACUCCUUGAAGUCGGAAUCGCUGUCAU
rnacentral:rRNA from 1 species